GAGAGAAAGUGAGGCAGAGUGUGCGCGAGCCCUGCAGGUGGAGAAGCCUGGUGCUGCCACUGUCUCAUGCAGUGGGUGAGAGGUGUUCUCCAUGAAGCAUGACAGCUUGGCCAUCAUCGCUCUUACCCCUACUGCCUCCACUGAGUCCAGUCUGCUGUCGUCAGGGGCAGGUGCACUGGGGCCCAUGGCUGGGGGGGACCCACUACGACAUGAACUCAAUCCCCAUUGCACUGCCCCCCCCCCAUUGGCUGCAGUCACCAGAUUUGCCAGCUCCUCUGCUGGGAAACCUGCUUUUCUCCUAAAAACAUGAUGCCUGUUGGAUCCGGUGAUGUUAGCACACUUUUUCCGUCAUCAUGAGGGAACCGGCCACUCAUUUUUCUCAAAGACUCGAAGAAAAGAAAACUCCCUUUAAUUCAAAACUACUGAUACUGACAAGCUUUUGCACUUGAGCUUUGGUGCCAAGGUAUCAGCAGUACCAACACUUUGUUCUGCACUUUUACACAUGCUAUACCAACAGCUGAUCUAAUAACAAGGCUUCUUACAAGACUUUGACAUAUGUCUUUAGGAAUUUGUGACCACACAUGGGUGCAUAUAGGACUGGCAAAAAUCUAAAACUAAAAUAAAUCUAAAACUAGCCAAUGCAUCUAAUGCAGUAACACACCCCGGACAGGACACCAAUACAUCGAGGAGCCUCAAGAGACCAUACAGAGCCAAUCAUAUCUGUAUGUAAAUGCAGAGGAUUCGAACCCCGCGGUAAUUCACCACUGCUUGACAAAAACAGCCUAUUAUUUUGUGUAUUUCAGAAAUUAAGAAACACUAGGGAUCCACAAAAUGUUGAUUUUUUUUUUCUCAAACAAUUAACAAAGGCAAGCCAAAUUACAUCUCAUUCAAAGACCACGUCCCAGUACGAUUUGAUUAAAAAGCCUGGUUGGGAAACAACCCAAUCUGGCGUAAGUAAAUUCUUGUUGACUGUGUUAUUGUACUCAAACACAGCUGAACAAGCUCUUCCAUUUGUUCCAAUUUGAAAAUAUGUAUUUUCAAUACAUAUUUAAUUCUUACUGGCUGGAUAUGAUACUAACAAAUGUUAGUUCUUGGUGACAAAAUAUAUUUUUUGUAGACUGUGUCAGAUUUACUGGUUUUAAGUAUUUCUUUAAUUUGCUUUGUGCAAUGAAAGUACCAAUAAUUGCAAUGGCAAAUAAAGUUAUACAGUGAUAUAUACUGUGGUACCUAGAAA